AUAAGGUCUAGAGUAGGGCACAGUAAUGUCCUAGGCCUUCACAUCCACUCACCACUCACUCACUGACGCACCCAGAGAAACUGCCAGUCCUGCAAGCUCCAUUCAUGGUAAGUGCCCUAUCCAGAUGUACUAUUUUUUAUCUUUUAUAUCAUAUUUUUACUUACCUUUUCUAUGUUUAGAUGUGUUUAGAUACACCAAUACUUACCAUUGUGCUACAAUUGCCUACAGUAUUCGGCACAGUAACAUGCCAUACCGGUUUGCCUAAGAGCAAUAGGCUGCACACCGUACGUCCUAGGUGUGUAGUAGGCUACACCAUCCAGGUUUGUGUAAGCACAUUCUAUAAUGUUCUCGCAACAAUGAAAUUGCCUAAUGAUGCAUUUUUCAGCAUGUAUCCCCAUCAUUAAGUGACACAUGACUGUACAGAAACCUCAGAUUUUCCACUGGCCCACCUAUCUACAACACGGAGCAGUGAAAGUUGAAAAUUGUAGAAAAGCUCUUUCACAAAGUCUUAUAUAAAAUUUUGUCUUCUUGUGCUUGUUUAUUGGUUUAUUCAACCAUUGUUCAUAAGGCAACUGAUGUGGAAUGGAAGACAAAUAAACCUGCAUUUAAAAUUUAGACAUUUUGCAAACAAAACGUGUUACAGAAGAGAUGUACACAGGGUGUGUGUUGGGGAAACUGGUCUCCGAGGAAUCCACGUGCUGUCUUCUUCUUGAGCUGGUGACAGUCUCUCAGUCCCGGCUCACGUGCUGGUUCCUCUUCCCUUGAGGCUGGCCCUAGGCUCUCCUAGAACUCUGUUUUAUGCUAAGUUUUGAAGAGAAAGAAAAAGUGCACCCAAAUGUCACCGGUGAGUCCUUGUACUCAGUGGAUAUAAGAAAGCUUUAAAACAGUUUAAAGAAAUAGUCUGGCUUAGUAUAUUUUCCCCAAGUUGUCUUCCUUGUCCCAAUGAUAGGUUAUACUAGGCAUUUGUUACACUUCUCACCUCUUUUUUUUUGGUGAGGAAAAUUGGCCCUGAGCUAACAUCUCUUGCCAAUCUUCCCGUUUUUGCUUGAGGAAGAUUGUCACUGAGCUAACAUCAGUGCCAAUCGUCCUCUAUUUUGUAUGUGGGACGUCGCUGCAGCAUGACUUGAUGAGUAGUGUGUAGGUCCGUGCCCAGGAUCCAAACCCGUGAACACUGGGCUGCCCAAACAGAGCACAUGAACUUAACCACUAUGCCAUCUGGCCGACCCCCACUUCUCUCCUCUUGACAUAAAAAUGAAUAUGAUUGGUGCAAUUUUAUCAUCCUUCUUCUUUACUCUCAAAAGUCUAUGUGUAAAAGGUGUGAACAAUUCCAACAUCUUGCUAGGUCCAGGCACAUGGUAUGAAACUAUCCAUCAUUUGCUAUACAUCUGUGCUGUAUCCCGAAAACAAAAAAACACUGCACACCUAUAGGGUUUGGAACUCAGGUAGUUUGAUACUGCUGCUCUCCCUAAUAAGAGUACAUUUUAUCCACAGCAAUAACAAGGCACACUUUUUGUGUUUUACCAAAUUCCCAUUCUUCAUAAUCAAUUUGUUACUAAGAAAAUGAAAAUAAAACUUCCCUUUGUGAUCCUACACCAACGACACACUUUGACUUCUGGCUCAGAAGCAUCCCUAGUCCUUUCAAAGAACAGACUGCUGUACCCUGUGGCAAUUGGGGCAGUGCUAUCUGUUAAAAUGGACUGAAACUCAGCUUCACCUGGUUAGCAGGUGUCCAUAUUAAUUCAGCUGGUGUCAUGUUCUCCAAAACCCAAAAAGGGGAAGUGGCUAAGGUGCUAAACUGGUGUAUGAAUCCAGGGACCU
rnacentral:lncRNA from 1 species